rnacentral:rRNA from 1 species
AUGGCCGGUUCGGGCGGAGCAUUAGAAGGCCCAGCACCAUUGCGACCUCGGGCGCCAUGUCCAAGACGUGGUCCACGGCGACGGAAACUGUUCCAGCGGCCUCCCAACCGGCGCAGAUCAUGGGCGUGGCGGUUGUGGCGGCGAAGUCCGCCAACACCAUGGCGAUGGCGACGGCCCUGUCGGCGUCUACCGCUGCUAUGA